GAUGAACGCUGGCGGCGUGCUUAACACAUGCAAGUCGAACGAAGCACUUUAUUUGAUUUCCUUCGGGACUGAUUAUUUUGUGACUGAGUGGCGGACGGGUGAGUAACGCGUGGGUAACCUGCCUUGUACAGGGGGAUAACAGUUGGAAACGGCUACUAAUACCGCAUAAGCGCACAGCAUCGCAUGAUGCAGUGUGAAAAACUCCGGUGGUAUAAGAUGGACCCGCGUUGGAUUAGCUAGUUGGUGAGGUAACGGCCCACCAAGGCGACGAUCCAUAGCCGACCUGAGAGGGUGACCGGCCACAUUGGGACUGAGACACGGCCCAAACUCCUACGGGAGGCAGCAGUGGGGAAUAUUGCACAAUGGGCGAAAGCCUGAUGCAGCGACGCCGCGUGAGCGAAGAAGUAUUUCGGUAUGUAAAGCUCUAUCAGCAGGGAAGAUAAUGACGGUACCUGACUAAGAAGCACCGGCUAAAUACGUG
rnacentral:rRNA from 1 species